UACGGGGGGGGCAAGCGUUGUUCGGAAUUACUGGGCGUAAAAGGCUUGUAGGUGGCCAACUAAGUCAGACGUGAAAUCCCUCGGCUUAACCGGGGAACUGCGUCUGAUACUGGAUGGCUGGAGUGUGGGAGAGGGAUGCGGAAUUCCAGGUGUAGCGGUGAAAUGCGUAGAUAUCUGGAGGAACACCGGUGGCGAAGGCGGCAUCCUGGACCAUUACUGACACUGAAAAGCGAAAGCCAGGGGAGCAAACGGG
rnacentral:rRNA from 1 species